GAGUUUGAUCCUGGCUCAGGACGAACGCUGGCGGCGCGCCUAACACAUGCAAGUCGAACGGGACUAUGCGAGAUGAAGUUUUCGGAUGGAAUUUUGUAUAGUUUAGUGGCGGACGGGUGAGUAACACGUGAGCAACCUGCCUUCGAGAGGGGAAUAACGGCUGGAAACGGUCGCUAAUACCGCAUAACAUACGGGAGGGACAUCCCUUUUGUAUCAAAGAUUUAUCGCUCGAAGAUGGGCUCGCGUCCGAUUAGGUAGUUGGUGAGGUAACGGCCCACCAAGCCGACGAUCGGUAGCCGGACUGAGAGGUUGAACGGCCACAUUGGGACUGAGACACGGCCCAGACUCCUACGGGAGGCAGCAGUGGGGGAUAUUGCACAAUGGGGGAAACCCUGAUGCAGCGACGCCGCGUGUAGGAAGACGGUCCUCUGGAUUGUAAACUACUGUCCCCAGGGACGAAGAUGACGGUACCUGGGGAGGAAGCUCCGGCUAACUACGUGCCAGCAGCCGCGGUAAUACGUAGGGAGCGAGCGUUGUCCGGAAUUA
rnacentral:rRNA from 1 species